AUUUUAUCAUCUUUAGUACGUAAUUUUGUAUUUAUUGUUAAUUGGCUGGGCACAAAAUAAACAAAAUUGUAAACAAAGGAUGUAAUAAGUGUUAACGAAAACACCAACAAUCGGUGUGAACAGCCUUCAGCCCACAAUCUCAAAACUCGUUUUCAAGGUGUUUUCGUUGUCAGGCAGAACAUGGUCCCCUUUCAGACACGUCAAGUCUUGCUUUCAAACCUGCUCGUUCGUUGGCGAAGGAGGUGGGAAGAGAGGGGAAGAGUACAGAUUCCUUCGUACCGUCAAUUCGUUUGAAGUUUACUUGUUCUCUUUUGAUCUUAUCGUUGCUUCCCAUUUAAAGAUCCUAGGACUUGAAUUCAAUAAAACUUGAUGCG